ACCAUUAUUUUGUUGACGCCAGAAUCCGAGAGAAUCCCUUUCUUGUUGAGUUCAUCUAACUAAACGUUACCUGUAUCCGACUCUUUCAGGCGUACCCAUUCGCUAUGCGAGCCAAGUGGAGAAAGAAGCGCAUGCGCAGAUUGAAGCGCAAAAGGAGAAAGAUGAGACAGAGGUCAAAAUAAGAUGUCCGCUGGAAGCCAACUGUAAAGUCUUGAGUGGCCGGUAACCGGAAGGAUGGACUGAGAGUCCAGCAGGGGAGCCCUCAGGUGGAAGUCUGACAUCUGCGUGUAAUCAACGGGCUGAGUCAACGCCUGCAGGUUGAAGGACUUCUGGCUUUUCUGGACUCUUAUUGUUUGUUCCCUCAUCGUUUUUCUAUGCUGAUUAAAGGAUUGGGUGUUUAAAUAA